UACGUAGGGGGCAAGCGUUGUCCGGAAUCAUUGGGCGUAAAGCGCGUGUAGGCGGCUCGGUAAGUCUGCUGUGAAAGUCCAGGGCUCAACCCUGGGAUGCCGGUGGAUACUGUCGAGCUCGAGUCCGGAAGAGGCGAGUGGAAUUCCUGGUGUAGCGGUGAAAUGCGCAGAUAUCAGGAGGAACACCAAUGGCGAAGGCAGCUCGCUGGGACGGUACUGACGCUGAGACGCGAAAGCGUGGGGAGCGAACAGG
rnacentral:rRNA from 1 species